GGGGGGGCGGGUCCCCCCGUCCCCCCUCCCCGUCUCCGAAGGGCAGAGGCUUGAAAUGAAUCACCCGCCCAAAGUCUAGAGGAACUGGGUGGCCAUUCGUGGGCAGGCAAGGAGAUCUUAGGGAAGGCUUCCUUUCCUGGAAGGGGGGGCGCCCAGGCAAAGGUUUCUCCCGGAUGAUUGGUUCCUCCGGGGAGCGAGUGACCCCGAGGCAGAGGUAGCCCUGAUAUUCCCCUCACACACACACACACCCAUCUCAAGGAGCGGGCUCGAAGUUUCGGAAACUUUCGCAGCAUCCCGAAGAGCUGCAAGGAAGCGGUUGAGGGAAGGUACCCUCAAGUCCAAGGUGAUGAACAUGGCUGCCUUCCUCACUCCAAUGACUCUAUAAAGUAGGUGACACGGAGAGAAUGUGACUGUGCCAAGGUCACCAGGAGAACUCUUUGUGAGCCUUAAGAAGAAGAUGUAACAAUGACCAUUCUGGAACUUUUAAUCCAGAAAAGCAACGCUCCCCAUCUCUGUUCAAGAUUUUCUCAAUGAGAAGCUGGACAAUGGUGUUGGAUAGAGACUUGGGAGAUCCAGAUUGUGAACACCUUGAGUGAACUUGGGCCACUUUCUAUAUCUCAACCUGACCACCCUUGCUGGGCUGUUGUAAAGAUAAAGUGCAAAACAACUAUGUACUCCUUGUUCAAACAGUGGAAUUUAAGUGUUACUUUGGAAUAUGAAUGUAACCAAGAAAUUGAUAAUAAUAUGGGCACUAGCUAUAAAGAGAUGAUUCUGAGUGUUGCAAAUCAAACUUGUUUGAUGGAUGAUGCUUCAAAGGCAAGAUCUUCCUAUUUUGGUUGGAAGACACAGCUGACUCAGAGGUUUCUUUAUCUUUUUGAGUUUAGAAAGGAGAAUUUCUCCACAUAUACCUUUUCUAAUACAAGACUGGGGGUAAUAAGAUAUGAAGCUGGCAGAGUUCCUCAUUCUGAGCAGCUCUUAAUGGUACAUGUACUCUGUCAGGUCUUAGUAAACCAGCAGGGUCUGCUUGGAAAAGGAUUGAUUGAGACAGGGCAGAGAGGGCUCCAAGCUGCUGUUGCAACUGAAUAAUGGUGUCUAGGAAUUUAGAGGCGAAAUGAUCAAGUACAGUUGGAGUGAGUUUUCUAGAGUCUCAGAUAGCCAUCCUCUCCGAGGAUGGAAAAGAUUUAUUCCAAAACUGAUUGAGGUCAAUUUUCUUAAUUCUGGGGCAUCUAAUCAGGAAGACGAAAAGGUGGGAAUGAAAAUCAGAGAUGGAAAAGUUCCCUUUUGCAGGUAUAACUGCCUGCUGGCUAAGAUGUUCUGGAGGCUGUAAUCUUAAAAAAAAGUACAAAAGAAAACAUUUUUGCCAAAUUAUCCCAGGGAUAAUAAUUGGGUUCCUUUUCUUGCAGCCAAAUGCAACUGACUUUUGCUUACCCAUGAGCAUGU